CUAAUAAGGGCCGCAGUCAAAAGGGAAACAGCCCAGACCAUCAGCUAAGGUCCCAAAAUGUAUGCUAAGUGGAAAAGGAUGUGGAGAUGUACAGACAACUAGGAGGUUGGCUCAGAAGCAGCCAUCCUUUAAAGAGUGCGUAACAGCUCACUAGUCGAAUGACUCUGCGCCGAUAAUUUACCGGGGCUAAGCAUACUACCGAAGCUAUGGAUCCCAAGGGAUGGUAGGGGAGCGUUCCAUGAACGGAGAAGUACGACCGAAAGGACGUGUGGAGAUCAUGGAAGAGAGAAUGCCGGUGUGAGUAGCGGAACGUGGGUGAGAAUCCCACGCACCGAAAACCCAAGGUUUCCAGAGGAAGGUUCGUCCGCUCUGGGUAAGUCGGGACCUAAGGCGAGGCCGAAAGGCGUAGUCGAUGGACAACAGGUAGAGAUUCCUGUACCCGUAUAUAUGUGAAGGAAUGACGGAGAGAGGAAGCUGCAGCCAGCGGCUGGAAGAGCUGGUGCAAGCGAGAUAUCGGGAUGGCAGGCAAAUCCACCAUCCGAAACGAGAAGGCGUGAAGCGUACGGAAAGCUACGGCGAGUACGGAAGGCAGUGGAGGAACUUCCAAGAAAAGUUUCUAACGUUAAGUAUAUAUGGCCCGUACCGAAAAUGGACACACAUGGGUGAGGAGAGAAUCCUAAGGUGAGCGAGAGAACUAUAGCUAAGGAACUCUGCAAAAUGACUCCGUAACUUAGGGAGAAGGAGUGCUCAUAGAGAUAUGAGCCGCAGUGAAACGGCCCAAGCGACUGUUUACCAAAAACACAGGACUCUGCAGAAGGCGAGAGCCGACGUAUAGGGUCUGACGCCUGCCCGGUGCCGGAAGGUCACGCGGAGGGGUUAGCGCGAGCGAAGCCCCGAGGCCAAGCCCCGGUAAACGGCGGCCGUAACUAUAACGGUCCUAAGGUAGCGAAAUUCCUUGUCGGGUAAGUUCCGACCUGCACGAAAGGCGCAACGACUUGGGCGCUGUCUCGACCAUGGACCCGGUGAAAUUGCACUGGUCGUGAAGAUGCGACUUACCCGCGGAAGGACGGAAAGACCCCGUGAACCUUCACUGCAGCUUGGCAUUGGCCGCUGGUCCCGCGUGUAGAGGAUAGGCAGGAGGCAUCGAUCCGGAGGCGCCAGCCCCCGGGGAGCCGCCCUUGGAAUACUGCCCUCGCGCGACCGGCGUCCUAACCCGAGGCCGUCAACCGGCUCGGGGACCGUGCCAGGCGGGCAGUUUGACUGGGGCGGUCGCCUCCUAAAGGGUAACGGAGGCGCGCGAAGGUCCGCUCGGGACGGUCGGCAACCGUCCUCAUGAGUGCAAGAGCGUAAGCGGGCUUGACUGCGAGGCAGACACGCCGAGCAGGUGCGAAAGCAGGCUCUAGUGAUCCGGCGGCCCCGCGUGGGUGGGCCGUCGCUCAACGGAUAAAAGGUACUCCGGGGAUAACAGGCUGA
rnacentral:rRNA from 1 species